rnacentral:rRNA from 1 species
UACGUAGGGGGCUAGCGUUGUCCGGAAUCAUUGGGCGUAAAGCGCGUGUAGGCGGUCCGGUAAGUCCGCUGUGAAAGUCGAGGGCUCAACCCUCGAAUGCCGGUGGAUACUGUCGGGCUUGAGUACGGGAGAGGCGAGUGGAAUUCCUGGUGUAGCGGUGAAAUGCGCAGAUAUCAGGAGGAACACCAACGGCGAAGGCAGCUCGCUGGGACGGUACUGACGCUGAGGCGCGAAAGCGUGGGGAGCGAACAGG